AGAGAUGAAUGCCAACGUCCAGCUUUACUUC
rnacentral:piRNA from 1 species